AUGAACACGUCGCAGUUCAUGGACAAGCAGAUCCUCGGGCUCGCGGCGGCGGGCGCGGCAUCGUCGCCUCCCUCCGGUGGCAGCGGCGGCGGCGGCGGCGGCCAGCUGUUCGAUCUGAUGGGCCCCAACCCGCAAGAGGACGACGUGGUGGAGAGCCACGACCUCCACGCGCGCCGCGGCGCCAGUGCCACGGAGGAGGUGAUGGUGCCCAGCUACGACUUCCAACCCAUCCGCACCGCCGCCGCCACCGCCGUAGCCCCAGCUGCCCCUGCCCCGGCCGCGGCGAACGCUUGGGGGUCGCUCGACGCCAAUGCCGCGUCCCCCAAACUUCAGAGUGCUGCUAUGAUGGAGCCUCGUGUGCUGAAGAAAGUUAGUCAUGAAGAAGAAAGGAGCAACUUCAAUGCAGUCACUAUAGCAGAUAUUGAUCGCACCAUGAAGAAAUAUGCUGAUAACUUGCUACAUGCAAUGGAAGGUGUAAGCUCCAGACUUGCACAGCUGGAGGGCAGAACACACCAUCUUGAGGACUCUGUUGGCGAGCUGAAGUUAACAGUUGGUAACUACAAUGGCAGCACUGAUGGAAAACUGAGGCAAUUUGAGAACACACUGCAGGAGGUUCAAGCAGGUGUGCAGAUUUUGUGUGACAAGCAGGAAAUUGUUGAGGCCCAGGUUCAACUUGCGAAGCUUCAAGUGUCUAAAGCAGAGGAUGUUGAGUCAGAAAAUGCCAGUGCUGGGCAGGUGGACUCAAGGCAGCAGCCGACUGCGCCCCAGCCAACUGUUCAACCACAACAUCAGGCCUAUCCUCCUUCCCAACCAACGGCACUGCCUGCCCUUCCUGCUCCAAAUGCGCCACCUCCACCAAUGGUUCACAACCAACCUCCGCCGCAAUUCCAAGGUCAUUUACCGCAUCCUCAACUGCAAUCAGUCGCACCUGCUCCAUCUGUGCCAACCAUAUCGCAGGAAUCCUACUAUCCCCCAUCCACACAGACAACAGAGGCUGCACACCAGCAAUAUCAAGCACCACCAGCCUCGCAGCAACAAGCACCUCCAGCAGCACCGCAACAUUACCAGCACCCGCCUCAGUAUGCUCCAUAUUCUCAACCUCCUCCACCUGGAAGUGUUAACCCCCAAACUGCAGCUGCACCCUUGCCCCAUCAGCCAGAAGAAGCAGCACCUUAUGGGCCUCCUGCUCAGAGCUACCCACCGAAUGUCCGCCCGCCGUCCCCUUACAUGCCACCACCCAGUGGACCUGUUCCUCCUUUCUAUGGGCCAAACCCUGGAAUGUACGAGCCUCCAGCAGUCAGGCCUAACUCCGGUCCACCACCGCCCUACAAUGCUGGAUACAAGCAGCAGGGAGGAGGAGGAGGUUUUCCUGAGCAGUAUGGAUACAGUGGGUCUCCUUCUCACCGUGGUAAUGCUGGAAUGAACUCGCCCUCACCCUUUGCCCCCACUGGCGCCUCCUCCGCCGGAAGUGGCAACUACGGCAAGCUCCCUACAGCUCAAAUACUGCCCCAAGCAGCGCCAGUGAGCUCCACCCCGAGUGCCUCGUCCGGCAGCAGGGUGGCGGUGGACGACGUGGUGGACAAGGUUUCGACGAUGGGGUUCUCGAAGGAGCAAGUGAGGGCGACUGUACGCAGGCUGACAGAGAACGGUCAGAAUGUGGACCUGAACGUGGUGCUCGACAAGCUGAUGAACGACACUGAUGCGCAGCCUGCCCAGAGAGGCUGGUUCGGAAGAUAA
rnacentral:rRNA from 1 species